CAAUUAAACACAUAAAUAAAAAGAUAACAAAAUACACAACUAUUUACUCUUAUCUCUUCUCCUAUAUAUUAAAAUUCAAAAUCACUUUUCUGGUUUCUUGAACCCUUAUUGCCAUGAUUCUCUUUCAUCAUCUCCCUCAAGUUGAAGAAGAACGUGAAGAAGAAGAAGGGAAAGCUUUUUAGUCAACCAACUUCACAGAAGCUUGUCAUCGGAGGUUUGUAUUUUGUCUACUUUAUCUUUUUGCUCCUUUCAAUAGUUGUAGAUAUAUAGAUCUAUAAUAGUAGCAUAUAUGCAAAUCUAUUUUCUGGUUUUCAUACAAUACACCUUCGUCAAGAGUUGUAGAUCUAGUCUAUAGAUCUAUAAUAGUAGUGUAUACACGAAAGCUCGCUGUGUCCAAGCCAUCGCAAUCCUCCACCACAAGAUUUAUCGUCAAACCCACUUACCCAGCGUGUCCAUGCUCUGAUUGGUGUCGUGAAUACCAAACUUUGUGAUUAAAAGGAAACAACUUUUAAGCAAAAAAAGAAGAAGGAAACAACUACGGGCAUUGUUUCCAAAGUGGGUCCAUGGAAGAAUCUUGAGCUUCUACUUUCCAGAGUAAUGUAAUUAAGCGACAAAAAUAAGGUGGAGUUGGCUUUCCUUUAUGUCAAACCACAUGAAGGAGAAAAAGAGAGUGGCAAGUGACAACGAGGGUGAAUGAUGUCAAGCUGUUACUAUAUCACGGCUGGUGACAACGAGGGUGAAUGAUGUCAACCUGCAAUAAAAGAGAGAUGUGAAUGGAUCCAGUCACUGUUUUUUUUUCUGAAGAACAAAACUUUCAAGUUAAGGGUGAAAUAUGUUUAGACUUUAGAUGCUGGAACAUCCUUAGGUUCAGCUUGAAUCAGUCGUUAAGUCUUACAAGUUUCUAUCAAUUUGUUAAGGUUUCUUUUAAAGGCGUCGAAUCAGGGACUGUUACUUUGAACCUCUGUAUGAUUUGUCUACAAACUUUGUCCACAAAAAUCUUGUCCACAAAAUUUUGUACAUAAAAUUUGUAAGAUUGAGAUUUUUGUCCAUAAAAUCUUGUCCAUAAAAUUUUUUACACUAAA